GGGCAAACUAAAUAUAAACAAAUUUAGACGCCUUGCGUAGCUACAACGUGUAAGUGAAGACAGCCAUGCAUGAAUACCCACCCACCUCCCCAGGGGUCGUAACCCCUGCAACCCAUAGAAGAUAAAGAUGCUUCAGUAGCUGAUUAGUGUUUUUUGUCUUUAAAAAAAAAAAAAAAAAUCUCACGGGAUAGAACGAA